rnacentral:rRNA from 1 species
GAUGAACGCUGGCGGCGUGCCUAAUACAUGCAAGUCGAGCGAAUGGAUUAAGAGCUUGCUCUUAUGAAGUUGGCGGUGGACGGGUGAGUAACACGUGGGUAACCUGCCCAUAAGACUGGGAUAACUCCGGGAAACCGGGGCUAAUACCGGAUAACAUUUUGAACCGCAUGGUUCGAAAUUGAAAGGCGGCUUCGGCUGUCACUUAUGGAUGGACCCGCGUCGCAUUAGCUAGUUGGUGAGGUAACGGCUCACCAAGGCAACGAUGCGUAGCCGACCUGAGAGGGUGAUCGGCCACACUGGGACUGAGACACGGCCCAGACUCCUACGGGAGGCAGCAGUAGGGAAUCUUCCGCAAUGGACGAAAGUCUGACGGAGCAACGCCGCGUGAGUGAUGAGGGCUUUCGGGUCGUAAAACUCUGUUGUUAGGGAAGAACAAGUGCUAGUUGAAUAAGCUGACACCUUGACGGUACCUAACCAGAAAGCCACGGCUAACUACGUGCCAGCAGCCGCCGUAA